CACAAGCGGUGGAGCAUGUGGUUUAAUUCGACGCAACGCGAAGAACCUUACCAGGGCUUGACAUCCCCUGACCGCGUAUGAAAGUACGUUUUCACCCUCGGGUGACAGGGAGACAGGUGGUGCAUGGUUGUCGUCAGCUCGUGUCGUGAGAUGUUGGGUUAAGUCCCGCAACGAGCGCAACCCCUACGUUUAGUUGCUAACGCGUGAAGGCGAGCACUCUAGACGAACUGCCGUUGACAAAACGGAGGAAGUGGGGAUGACGUCAAAUCAUCAUGCCCCUUAUGUUCUGGGCUACACACGUGCUACAAUGGCCGGUACAGACGGACGCAAAGCCGCGAGGUGGAGCAAAUCCUAAAAAGCCGGUCUCAGUUCGGAUUGCAGGCUGCAAUUCGCCUGCAUGAAGUCGGAAUCGCUAGUAAUCGCAGGUCAGCAUACUGCGGUGAAUACGUUCCCGGGCCUU
rnacentral:rRNA from 1 species